AAUCAACGCUGGCGGCGUGCCUCAGACAUGCAAGUCGAACGAUUAAAGCUCUCUUCGGAGAGUGUAUAGAGUGGCGCACGGGUGAGUAACACGUAAGUAAUCUACCUUCGAGUGGGGAAUAACCCGGGGAAACCCGAGCUAAUACCGCAUAAUGCAGCGGCAUCGCAAGAUGACAGUUGUUAAAGGAAUUUACUUCGCUU
rnacentral:rRNA from 1 species